rnacentral:rRNA from 1 species
AGUACAGGAUGGACCCGCGUCUGAUUAGCUAGUUGGUAAGGUAACGGCUUACCAAGGCGACGAUCAGUAGCCGACCUGAGAGGGUGAUCGGCCACAUUGGAACUGAGACACGGUCCAAACUCCUACGGGAGGCCGCAGUGGGGAAUAUUGCACAAUGGGCGAAAGCCUGAUGCAGCAACGCCGCGUGAGUGAUGAAGGCCUUCGGGUCGUAAAACUCUGUCCUCAAGGAAGAUAAUGACGGGACUUGAGGAGGAAGCCCCGGCUAA